ACCCGCGGCCCGCCCCUGGCCGCCCGACGGGAGGGAGGGAUCGGGUUCUCCUAGGAAGUUUCAGUAUGCAUUCUUAGAAACCAGAUAUACAAAGACAAGAUCUCUGCUUUCAAGAAGCUCUCAAUCUGAUUGAGGAGAGAAACAGGUAGCAAAUAAUGACAGCAGAGCAUGUGAAGAUAAAAUGAUCAAGUCAGAUUUGAAGAAUUGACUGUUGGAGGUCAUUCAACAUUUAUUCAACCAAAAAUACUAAGUCAGCUCUAUACAAACUAAUGGA
rnacentral:antisense_RNA from 1 species